rnacentral:lncRNA from 1 species
AAACUUGGUGGAAGGAAUUUGGAACUUGGAAGGGAUAGGGACUCUAAAAAAGGAACAACAGAGUCAAAUAACCUAGAAACUUGGGGGCUCCCAGAGGCUGAAUCACCAACCAAAGAGCAUGGGCUGAGUCUAGGCCUGUCCCUGCCACUCACAUAAAAGUAGCAGAUGUGCAGCUUGGUCUUCAUGUGGGACCCACAAACAGCUGGAGUGGGAGAUCACUCUGACUCUGCUGCCUGCCUGUGGAUCCUGUUCCCCUAUUUGGGCUGCCUUGCCUGGCCUCAAUGGGAGAGGACAUGCCUAGACCUGCAAUGACUUCAGGUGCCAGGGUCUUCUGUUGCAGUAGAAGCUUAUCAGGAAAAAGUCAUGGAAAACCUGAUGUACUACAGUGUGAGGAGGAAUCGAACGGACAUUCUCCUCAGCUUCCCUACACUCCUGAGAGCAAGCCCAGCAGGUCAAAGGAGUCUGAAUCAACU